UAGGGAAUCUUCGGCAAUGGACGAAAGUCUGACCGAGCAACGCCGCGUGAGUGAAGAAGGUUUUCGGAUCGUAAAACUCUGUUGUUAGAGAAGAACAAGGACGUUAGUAACUGAACGUCCCCUGACGGUAUCUAACCAGAAAGCCACGGCUAACUACGUGCCAGCAGCCGCGGUAAUACGUAGGUGGCAAGCGUUGUCCGGAUUUAUUGGGCGUAAAGCGAGCGCAGGCGGUUUCUUAAGUCUGAUGUGAAAGCCCCCGGCUCAACCGGGGAGGAUCAUUGGAAACUGGGGGACUUGAGUGCAGAAGAGGAGAGUGGAAUUCCAUGUGUAGCGGUGAAAUGCGUAGAUAUAUGGAGGAACACCAGUGGCGAAGGCGGCUCUCUGGUCUGUAACUGACGCUGAGGCUCGAAAGCGUGGGGAGCAAACAGG
rnacentral:rRNA from 1 species